rnacentral:lncRNA from 1 species
CCAAAACUUCAUCAAAACUUGUGUUUCCUUGCCUGCUUAGCUCUCUCGUUCCUAACAAAAAAAGAAGAACAGAACAUCUAUCAUGUCUUUGAUCAAGACCAACAACUUAUUCGCUUCUUUGAUGAUUCUUGUGGCAGUCUUUGGAGUUGCCGUUGGAGACUCUUUGGUCUCUGAAUACAACAAAGACUAUCACGACGUCAUUGAAGUCACUCACAACAUCUUUGAGCAGUCUGAACCAUCUAACAACCCACCGAGAGUCCAAAACUUUAUAUGCGGUGUUCCUGGUCACUGCGGCAUACAUAAGCUAGUCUUACCGUUGGAUCGCUGUGCAGCUCGCUUUCGUAGACCGGUCGGAUCACCAAACAGUACAAUAGAUAAUUUAAUUUCAUCAGCAAAAUUUUGUGCUAAUAUGAUUGUAUUAUUAAAAACAAUGUUGCUUGCUUGAUAGUAAGCAAUAUAUUCGUAAUUGUUUUUUUUUCUCAUUCACAUAAUAAAAUAUAAUAUUUCAUAAUCAUUGAUAUACGAAUUGCACGAGUAAGUUUAAAAUUUGUCAAGUUUGUGAAAACAAUAAAUAAGUACAAUCCCAUAAAAAAAUGAACGGAUUUGUGUAGUAAAAGAAGGAAAACUACAUUAUUGGUAAUCAACAGUCAAGGCCGUGCCUGAAUAUUUUAGGCCCUCAAGCAUAAAUUUUUGUUUGGCACAUUAACUAUUAGCUUUCAAAAAUAUAUACACACAGAUUUGAACCUAUGUUCUUAAACAUGCACACAAAUACAAUUAUCAAUAGAGCUAUAGACGUUUUUACACUGAUUAAGUAUUGGCCCCUUAAAAUUUUAAAGCAAUUUUGGCCCCAACACAUGCUUCUACUCAAGAAUGCAAAAAGUGUAGUUUCUGAUUCUACUCUGUUCAACACAGGCCUUCAUUAUCUCCACUGUAAGAUUUGGGUUACUCUCUGCAAACAGCUUGAGCUCAUCAGAGUAAGCAAUUGUAGCUAUAUUCAUUCGGAUACAGCUUAAGGCAGCAUUGUUUAGUGCGUCAUCGAAAGGGAUUUGGGCAAGCUCAUAAACGUCAAGAGCAUUAGAUGCGUUCAGAGAAGAUAUAAGUUCGUUUCUGGUCAGGUCUCGUAGAUGCGGGAUCUCAUAUUUAUCCGCUGCUAGAUAAAGUGAUCGAGCAUGCCCUGCACAAGGCGUUGAGCCAUCACUGUAUAUGAACUCUACCAAAGCCUUUAGCUCUUCGUGUUUCAUCUCAGAGAGAGUGAUUAUCUCUUUCUCAGACGAAGUCUUGCACUCAUCCUCCUCCAGCAUCUUCUUAAAGACCUUUGAUCUUGCAGCCUUUUCAAAUAUCAAGUAAGGGUCACUCUUCAACCAAUUAUCAAAAAUCUAUAUAUUUUAAUGGGUCACAUAAUAUCUAAUACCAAAAGUUGGAUUACAGUGCAUAAACAACUAACUUUGAAACAAAAAGAAAUAAUACUAAAAGAACUUGUAUUAUGAAACAGGAGUAAUACAAAAUAUUAGAGUGUGUCAAAUAUUGUUUUCUAAACCAGAUAACAAAAAAAUAAAUAGGAAGAAGUGAAGACCAGAACAAGUUUGUGAGCGGAGAUUGCUGCAUCUGGAUCGCUGUCUCCUGCCUUGAGCAGCACAUCAACUUGCCAUUGUUCUUCUAAGAUAUGUGCAAACACAUCUAAGAAAAUGUUUAGAUUGCUCUGUUUUGCCAUAACGAUAAUACUGAUAUCACUUGAGUUUCAUUUAGUUAUAUAGAGAAUGAAGACUACGAAGUGAUGAUUCUUUCCUUUUGUGUUUGAAAGCUAGUAAAUUGAUGAUUCCUUCCUCUGAAAACAAGCAUUAUUUAUCUUUCCUUUUGCUUCCUUGUAGUAUCCGAUACUUUGGGAAUGGAGAAGAGACAACUUUAAAAGCCUAACUUCGAAACAUUAUGCUGAGAGUCUGAGACGAUCCUUGUUUUCAAAAUAAGUAUUUUCGUUGAUUUAUUUUAUUUUAUUUAUUUUUACUCUUACUAUCAUUUCUAGGUAAAGAACCUGUGCGAUAUCGCACAGGAACUCAUUUUAUAGAAAAAUAUGCCAUAUUUUAUAUAAUUGUUUUUAAAAAUACAUGUGUAACAAAAUUAUCUUAUUUAGACCUAUAUUCCUUUAUUGAUGAUAUUAGAAAACUAUAUUUAUUGAUGAUAUUAGUUGUAACAAAAUUACAUAUAUAUCAAGACCAAAUAAGAUAUAUGUCUACUCAUUUACUAAAUUUAUAAAGUUAAGAGAUUUUUAUAUUCAUAAUUUUUUGAAACCAUAUAAAAAUGCAUGUACAGUAGAAAAUGAUUACAUGUGUAGUUAGAAUGCUUAGAUUUGGAAAAACACAGUUAUAGUUUGCAAUGAAUAUUUAUAAAUAAAAAAUGAUAAGUUAUAUUCUAAAACAUAUAUAGAGUUGUGUUAUUUCGGUAAUAUAAAUUAUAUUUCAUUAAAAUUAAUUUGUGAAAGUUGGUUGAUUAGUAGAUGCUAUUUUCUAGAUUUCUUUUAAAAAAAUAUAUAGUAUAUAAAAUGAUAAUAUAUAAACAUUGAACAAAUAAGAAAAAGACACAUUCAUAGAUCAUUUUUCAAGUUAAAAAAAAGAAACACAUGAAAAUAUAUUUAUUUGGACUAUUUAAAUGUAUAAUAAAUAAAAUUGAUGAAAAGAUAUAUCUUUAGAUUUUAUUUUUUACAAUGGUUAAAAACCAAGCAAUGGUUAACUAAGAGUUAUAAUGGUUAGCAUUAAAAAUUGAAUUGGUUCAUAUUAAAGUCUAUCAUUACCAAUAGUUUCAAGGAUUAACAAUAAAAGUUGCAAUGGUUCAUCACUAAAGUCUAUUGUUGCCAAUAGUUGCAAGAUUUAUCAUAGUUGUAAACUUGUAAUGAUUUAUCACUGAAUAUUAUAUAUGUAUAUAAAAAUAGAUAUAAAAACGAAUGAAAGACAACUCCUUAUUGGUUCUGAAUUUCUGAUGAAAAAUAGAGUCACGAUCUAGGACCACCGGCCUUCUGUCAGUGGUUCCAUUUUCCUCUUUUAUUUAGUUUUUUUUUUCAUCUUCUUUUCAAUUGAUAAAGAUUUCAAAGUUCUUAGAAAAGUUUACCUUCAAGGACAUAUUUUGUGUUUCCAAUUACCAAUUUAGACACUUUGGGUUUGGAAGACACUUUCCCAAGUCACUUUGUCCAAUUUGUCCUUGAACUAGAUAUCAACGUGUUUGAAUAAAUAAUGAAUUAUAAAAACAUUAAUUUUUUAUAUAUUUUGCAUCGAUAACUCAAAAUCUCCAGAUCCCCUUUCUCUUAACCUAAUCCUAAAAACAAUCUUUCAUAUUCAUCUAUCAUCUUGGAUAAGUACAAUUGAACCAAAGCACCGUUGUCUUCUCUGUCACUUUCUGAGAGAGUCGUGUUCACCGCCGUGUUCUUUCGUGAUAAAAGAUAUCAACUUUGCCAUGGAUAUGGAUGAUGACGGAUCUCUGUGAUGGAGAUGGACACUGAUGAAGCUCUGCACCACCUCUGUCAUCGCUUCAGUGGCGCGUACGAGAAGCGAGAUUCUGAGAAGAAUCGAAAAAGGACACGACAAGGAUUUACGUCGUUGACGCCGCAGUUUCAGUGGCGAGUGUCUUGGGAGAGGGAGGAAGAAGCUGGAGGAGAAGUAGGGAAGACGAUGGUGAGCAGGUCCGACCUUCAAUGUGGAGAGGACGACGACAUCGAGCUCUCGUGAUGCAGACAGAGGAUGUGUGGAUGUGGACGAAAGUUGUAUGGAUGUGGUCAUUGUGGACAUGAGACUUGGAAUCAAGUGCGAAGUGGUCAGAUAAGAGGUGGUCAGAUGAGAUAUGGAUAACAGUGAAGAUUCCACAUGUGUCUUCUAUGCUCUGGUUAUUUACGAGAUUCAUAUGUCUUGGGAGAGGGAGGAAGAAGCUGGACGAGAGGUAGGGACAACGAUGGUGAGCAGGUCCGAUCUCCAAUGUGGAGAGGACGACGACAUCGAGCUCUCGUGAUGCAGACAGAGGAUGUGUGGAUGUGAUCGGUGUGGACGGCAGCUGUAUGGAUGUGGUCAUUGUGGACAUGAGACUUGGAAUCAAGUGCGAAGUGGCUAGAUAAGAGGUGGUCAAAUGAGAUAUGGAUAACAGUGAAGAUUCCACAUGUAUCUUCCAUGCUCUGGUUAUUUACAAGAUUUAUAUGUUUUGGGAGAGGGAGGAAGAAGCUGGACGAGAGGUAGGGACAACGAUGGUGAGCAGGUCCGAGUUUUGGUGUGGAGAGGACAACAUUACAUCGAGCUCUCGUAAUGUGGACAAAGGAUGUGUGGGUGUGAUUGGUGUGGACGACAGUUAUGUGGAUGUGGUCGUUGUGGUCAUGAGACUUGGGGUCAAGUGCGAAAUGGUCAGAUGAGAUAUGAAUAACAGUAAAGAUCCUAUAUGUGUUUUUUAUACUCUGGUAAAUAACGAGAUUCAUAUAAGAUGAUAGUUUCUGCAUUUUGCAAACGUUGAUGUUUCUUUCUGUAGUGUACAAAUAUAUUUUCCUCAUAUACUUUUUGUUUAGAAACCAGAAGAAAGAUCUAUCAGAUAAAUGUUAAAACUCUUAAACUAAAUUAACAAAACUUCAAACCCAGAACUUCACAACCACCAUUAAAUCUUUUUUUUCGAAACGGAACCGAUGGCCAAAUUAACACAAUUCACAUAAAUCUAUAUACCAACCUUUUUAAUAAUAAAUGUUGCAUUUAUUGCAACCACACGAAAAUUUAGUUAGCUUUGCUGUUGGUUUCUUGAAAAGAACAUUUUUCUACUUACACAAAACCAAGGGCAUUUAUGUCCUGAAAAAACACCUGUCCACACAAAGUGUGCCAAACAAACAAUGUGUCUUUAAGAGAAAAGAAAAUUCAUAAUGUGUCUUUAUAUGUAAGUCUCUCAAGUUCUUAUCAAUACUUCCAUCAAUAAGAUGAGACUGUUUUGUUCUCUUUUAAACACAUGCAUGGUUCUGGGUGCGAUCAUAAAGGCGAUUUUUGAAGAGUCAUGCCCUUUCGCCAUUAACUGGCAUUGUAUUUCUCUGUAGAGUUCUAUCCGUGUCUCAGUGACGGUUAUGUCAGGCCGGAGUAAACGUCGGACGGUUAUUGAUUCCAUAAAUACCGAUUUGAGUGCUCUAUAUAUAUGUAUAUAUUCUGUUAUGUUUUUUUUUUUUGAACUUAUAUAUUCUGUUAUGUUUCUUUCUUCCUAUGUGUUGAUCGAAUUUUUGGAAUCUGUUUUUCAUUGUUUAUUCUGAUCAUGGAUGAGAAAAUACAAAAGAAACUGCAGGAAAAUUCCCUGAAUGAAACAUUUACAAUAUCUAACCCAAAUAAACCUAAACAUAGUAUAUGUUUCUAUUAUUUUUUUCAUUAGAAACCAACCGUGAAAUUGCUUAAUCGAAUUGGCUAACAACCGAAACUGGUCAUAGUUAAGAAAUUGAAAUGUUUCAAAAUGAAUUGAAACUUGUGAAUCAUUAAGGAUCUCAACUGUUGACUGAUCAAGUGAUCAUUAAUAUUAAUACGCAAUUGAAAACAAUGCCUCGGACUUUUACUAUUAAUAGAAUAAUUGAUGACUCAAAAGUUUAUAAUUUUCAGUUGUUUUCCAAACUUCAAAAUCAGUGAUUAAUUAAUAGAAUGUUUCUCUCAACAAAAUACUCUUCAAAUUGUUGAAUAUAUUUACUAUUAAUUGAACCAACAAUUGUUUCAUUUUGCAAAGAAAUUAAAUAAAACAAUGAAAGAGUAUAUAUAGACCUUAAAUGAAUCUUAAAUGUGAGAUUUCGAUACUUAAACAAACUAUAGUGAUAUCACUGAAAUUUUGUAUAAAAAUAGAACAUGAAACAUGUGUUCAAUGAAAAGUACAUAUCACAAAAACAAAAUUUGUUAGUAUGUUCAAUCUAAAACAUGUACCUCUUAAAAUGAUAUUUAUACGAAAAGUCACAAUUUUUCAUUUUAAAUAGUCACAACUUUUAAAAUAACUGAAAUCGAAUUCACAACCCUUAGAUUCACGACCCUUGCAAUAAUUGGAUCCCACAUCAACCAUAAGAUCUCCAGGUGCACAAAAAAAACAAAAAAAAACCACGAGAUCUCCCAGAUCAAGUCCUGGUCCUCCUUCGACCGCAGCACCACCGCCUGGCUCACCGACGGUCUCAGCCUCCUCAGAGACGGCCAAGAAACGCUAUCCAACAUACUCCACCUCCCUCAUUCACAAGAGUCUCCGCAACCGCCCCGUGUUCUUCGAGAAUCUUCUCCGUUUCGUCGACGCCUACGGCAUCUUCCGCACGUCGGUCCUCUCCCUCCGCGAGCACCAGUCCGCCGCUCAAGUCGCUCUCCGGAAAAAAGACGACGUCAAAAUCUCCUCCUACGUAAAAUCUCGCCGCGCUCUCGCGCGAGACGUCGCGAAGCUGACGUCAUCUAUACGCGAGCCGAAGACGAAUACAACCACUGCCACGUGGACGUUUUGAACGGGUCGUACGGUGAAGCAGAGCUGGCGUCGGUCAUCGAGGUCACUGUUUUGGUAUCCGUGGUGCUUUUUAACGGCAUUUACUUAUCUCUCCGUUCGAGUAAAACAAUAGCGUUUGUUGGGUUUCUUAAGAGGUCAGUCAGAGAAGAGAGACAAGAACUGUGAAGGGAUCGAGGAGCUGAAGCAAGUCGAGGAGAAGAGUUGGUUGGGUUGAGCAAGAAGAAAAACGAAGAAGAUGCAUGAUGGAACUUGAGAAUUCGAUCGUUGAAAUUAGUGUUUAGGGGUUUGAUUAGUAGUCGGGUCUCAUUGCUUAAUGCCCUAACACAUUAACAUUAACAUUGUCAUUUUCAUAAUCUUGUUCCUUUUCUUCAAGAUUUCAGUAUGUAUCUGCGUUUUUGUCCUAUUUUUAUUUAUUUGUAUGAGUUAAAUACUUUGGAUAAAAUAGAAAACAAAGAUAUAUACAUUACAUGUUGUUUUCAUACAAAUAUGAGAAUUCUUAUAUCGAGAGUUCUAUAACAAAAUUUUUUACAUUUUAGAGUUAUGUUUUAUAAUAAUUCAUGUCAAAUUAUUAUAUUUACCUCACACCGAUGAGCUGUUUUAUGAAAAUAUACAUCUGAAAGUUCUCUUUGCAUAAAUGAUAAUAAAUUACAUUUUUAAGGUUUGAAUCUAGAAUUUCAUGGUAUAUAAAUAUCAAUGAAAUUUUAGUUCAACCAAAGGAUAAGGAGAUUUCCAUCUUUGUUGUUCUUAUGUUAGAAACAACCCAAAAUUUUAUGUUCGAUUUAAUUGGAUAUAAGAAUUAAUUUGAUGAUUAUAAUUACUAUGUAUUUGUAUAAUCCAAUUUUUUUUUGGAAUAAAUGGUUACGCGUUAAGAACCAAGGUCCACUUGCUUUCACAAACCACCAUCCGAUGGCCAUGGCCAUGCAUAAUCGUUUAUUUGGCAGGCAACAAAACAUUAAACAUCAGUAUGGGAACAGCGUGCAUGAACUGACUCAUUUGACACAUAUAUUUGCCGGAAAUACUUGAGAGAAAAUAAAAUUAAAGGACAUAAGAAGACAUAACUUGCAAGACUAAGACUAAUAAUUUCAUUGUUUCGUUGUAAAUUUUUGGCUAUCUAAACACAUAAAACUCUUCAUAUUAUUUUUUGUUGACAACGUUUCAUUUGAAUAUUUUCUAAAACUUAAGUAAUUGCACAUAAUUUUUUUUCCUCGCUAUUUUAUUAGAUUAGUGAAAAUUUUAUUUUGAGAAAGGGCUUGGAUAAAAACUAUUUAUAGAUUUUCAAAAAUUUAUUUGAAUAGUCACAACUCUUCAAUUUGAAUAGUCACGUUCUUCAAAUUUAAAGGUAGUUAUUUUGAAAAGAUACUUAUAAGAAUAGUCACAACUUUUUAUUUCUUAAAAGAUACUUAUAUGAAAAGUCACAACCAUUAGACAAUUUUUAGAAAAGACACAAUCUUACAACAUUAAACUUUUAGAAAAGAUACAACUUUUUAGAUAUAUUUUACAAAAGACACAACCUUUCAACAUAAGUAGAUUCAUAACCUUUGGAAUUAAUUGGAAUCGAACAAAAUUAUAACCGUCACAAAAAAGUAUUAGGUUAAUUAAACCGCAUGCAUGCAAAAUAUUUUUCAUUCCUGAGAAUCUUAAUAUGCAUGUAGAUUUGGACAAAACAAAGUUCCAGAGUAAAUCGCAUGCAUGAAUUCCUUGUAAACUUUUUUUUAUGAAUUCUAUAUAUAAUGUAAAGCAAAGAAUUCGUUCACGUAUGACUACUAUCGACAAAAAUCCAUAACAAAAGAAGAACAAAUUUCAAGCACUUGUUCAACCAUUGCACAUGUUCGUUUAUGUUUCAAAAGAAUCAAAACUUACAGAACCUUAAACGUUAUAACCAAAAAAUAUUUCCAGAAACUUAAAUGCCACAAUGCAACAUUUCCAGAUGCCGUGUGUAUAUAAAUGGUUUAUGAAUGUACACUUAAAUACAUGUUUUAUGUUUACGCUGGACAUGAUUAUUUACGUUUCUAAUCCAACAUCAGAAUUCAUAAAUGCAUGCAAAGCAUUAAUUCAUGCAUAAAAUGUUUAAUUAUUUUUACCAAAAAAAAUGUUUAAUUAUGCCGACCGUAGCCUCUAUCACGAACACUCACUAAUGGAUGUAAUAUGCUCGUUAAAAAGAUGUGAGAAGGAUACACGUGAUAGUUCGGGAAAAUGAAUUAGAAGUUCAGUUGAAGGAGAAAACAUGAUAGGAGAACUUGACUCUAGAUCAUAAUGGCAAGCGAUUUAUUCAAGCUCGGAAUAAAAAUAUUGCAGUUUGGACAAGACCUCCUGCUGGUUAUGUUAACUGUAAUGUUGAUACAUCGUUCGAUCAUUCAUUUGAAUAUGUCUUCUAAAAAUUUGUAUCCAUGUAAUUGCUUAGAACUUUUUUCCACCAUUUUUUAUUAGUUCGAUUAGUGAAACUUUAAUUUUGAGAAAUGCAUGGUAGAGACUAUUUAUAGAUUUUAAAAAUCUGUUUGAAUAGUCGUAACUCUUCAAUUUGAAUAGUCGCAUUCUUCCAAUUUAAAGAUAGUUAUUUUGAAAAAAUACUUAUAAGAAUAGUCACAACUUUUUACUUUUUAAAAGAUACUUAUAUGAAAAGUCACAACCAUUAGACAAUUUUUAGAAAAGACACAACCUUACAACAUUAAACUUUUAGAAAAGAUACAACUUUUUAGAUAUAUUUUACAAAAGACACAACCUUUCAACAUAAGUAGAUUCAUAACCUUUGGAAUUAAUUGGGAUUGCUAUUAUUAGUAGAUACAUAUAAAUAAUUUGAUAAUACAAGUUACUUUUGUAAUGUUUGUCAAUUUUAAAUUUUAUUAAUUGAUUAUUUUUUAUACCAGACUUUAGAGAGGUUUAUACUAAAAUAUGUAUCGGAAGGAAACGUUUGUUCGAAUUUUUUUUCUCCGUCAGCUUUAAUUUUAUGAUUAUGUAUAUAAGAAAGUUUUUUACACCAUAAAUAAAUAAAAAAUCGAGAAAAUAAAAAAGAUAACUUUAAAUUACACAAAUAGAUGACUAUUGAAAGUUGUGGUUUAUGAAAAAAGCUACCAUGUUGUUACUCCAUUAUCAAUAAUAUAUAUUUCUACGCGCCAUAUAAGCCCUUAUUAUUUCAACAGUAAGAUCUGUAUUCCUGGUUGCGAACAACUUGAACUCAAGAGAGUUAGCAAUCGUCUUUAGAUUAUUUAUGAUAUAACUAAAUGCAGCAUCGUGGAGGGCAUUGUCAAGAGGAAUCAGAGAGAGCUCCAAGACUUCAAGAGCAUUCGAGAGAGUAAGAGAUUUUACUAGCUCGUUUCUGCAUAGAUCGCGUAGAUGUGGAAUCUCAUAUUUGUCGGCUGUAACAUAGAGUGACCUAACGUGUUCUUUUGCUUUCGCAGAAAGUUUAGAGACGUCACUGUAGACGAAUUUGACCAAAGCCUCUAACUCCUCAUGUUUCAGCUCUGAGAAAGUGACUGUCUCGCAGGAUCGUUUCAGCAUAACGUAGUGCCCACGGCAACAAAAGAUUUCAGGAUUUUUUCGUAUAUUUUUCUUGGGCCUUUCCGUGAUCAUUUUCUUUUCGAAACUUACUAUGGGUCCAACGUCCAUGCUCCUUCGGCCUUUCUGUAGAGAUGGUCUUGCUGCCUCGACCGGUUGAGAUGGAGCUUUGAACUCGUCUAGUUCAGUAUUUUCUUUAACACCUCUGACCUUGAUGCCUAUUCAAAUUCCAAAAAACAAAGGUUAUUGACCACUAAAUAAGCAUUUCAAGUAAAGAGACACUCUCAAACACCGGAGUAUAAUUUCGGUUAUAAAUAAGAAAUACAAGAUACAUUAAGAUGAAGAUGAGACCAGGACAAGUUUGUGUGCAAAGAUGGAUACACCCUCACCAAACAGUACAAUAAAUAAUUUCUUUUUCAUCAGCAAAAUUUUGUGCUAAUAUGAUUGUAUUAUAAAAAAAAAACAAUCUUUACUUGCUUGAUAGUAAGCAAUAUAUAUUCGUAAUUGUUUUUUUUUCUCAUUCACAUAAUAAAACAUAAUAUUUCAUAAUCAUUGAUAUACGAAUUGCACGAGUAGGUUUAAAAUUUGUCAAGUUUGUGAAAACAAUAAAUAAGUACAAUCCCAUAAAAAAUGAACGGAUUUGUGGUAUAUGUCAUAGUAAAAGAACGAAAGCUACAUUAUUGACAAUAAUUAUUGACUAGCUUCUACUCAGGAAUUUUAAAGCAAUUUUGGUCCCAACACAUGCUUGACUAGCUUCUACUUAGGAAUGCAAAAAUUGUACUCCUUUCUGUUUCUAAAUAUAAAAUGUUUAGGAAAAAACACACAUAUUAAAAAAUUAUUAUUUUUUAUCUAGAAAAUAUCAUUAAAACUAUAAAAUAAUUGUAUUCAACCAAUUACAAAAUAUAUUAUUAAAUAUGAUUGGUUACACAGUUUUUAAUAGAGUAAAAGUUACCUAGAAAGUUGAAAACAUCAUAUAUAUUGGAACAUUAAUUUUUUUUGAAACAUUAUAUUUAGGAACAGCUGGAGUAGUUUCUAAUUCUACUCUGUUCAACACAGGCCUUCAUUAUCUCCACCGUAAGAUUUGGGUUACUCUCUGCAAACAGCUUGAGCUCAUCAGAGUAAGCAAUUGUAGCUAUAUUUAUUCGGAUACAGCUUAAGGCAGCAUUGUUUAGUGCGUCAUCGAAAGGGAUUUGGGCAAGCACAUAAACGUCAAGAGCAUUAGAUGCGUUCAGAGAAGAUAUAAGUUCGUUUCUGCUCAGGUCUCGUAGAUGCGGGAUGUCAUAUUUAUCCGCUGCUAGAUAAAGUGAUCGAGCAUGCCCUGCACAAGGCGUUGAGCCAUCACUGUAUAUGAACUCUACUAAAGCCUUUAGCUCUUCGUGUUUCAUCUCCGAGAGAGUGAUUAUCUCUUUCUCAGACGAAGUCUUGCACUCAUCCUCCUCCAGCAUCUUCUUAAAGACCUUUGAUCUUGCAGCCUAUUCAAAUAUCAAGUAAGAGGGUCACUCUCCAAAAUUCACUCUUCAACCAAUUAUCAAAAAUAUAUAUAGUUUAAUGGGUCACAUAAUAUCUAAUACCAAAAGUUGGAUUACAGUGCAUAAACAACUAAUAUUUUGAAACAAAAAGAAAUAUUACUAAAACAACUUGUAUUAUGAAACAGAAGGAGUAAUACAAAAUAUUAUAGUGUGUCAAAUAUUGUUUUCUAAACCAGAUAACAAAAGAAUAAAUAGGAAGAAGUGAUUGACCAAAAAAAAAAGAAAAGGAAGAAAUGAAGACCAGAACAAGUUUGUGGGCCGAGAUUGCUGCAUCUGGAUGGCUGUCUCCUGCCUUGAGCAGCACAUCAACUUGCCAUUGUUCUUCUAAGAUAUGUGCAAACCCAUCUAAGAAAAUGUUUAGGUUGCUCUGUUUUGCCAUAACGAUGAUAUUGAUAUCACUUGAAAUUUCAUUUAGUUAUAUAGUGAACAAAGUGAUGAUUCUUUCCUUUUGUGUUUGAAAGCGAGAAAAUUGAUGAUUCUUUCCUUUGAAAACAAGUAAGUAUUAUUUAUCUUUCCUUUUAAUUCCUUGUAGUAUCCGAUACUUAGGGAAUGAAGAAGAGACAACUUUAAAAGUCUAACUUCAAUACAUUAUGCUGAGAGUCUGAAACGAUCCUUGUUUUCAAAAUAAGUAUUUUCGUUGAUUUAUUUUGUAUUUUUAUAGAAUGUUAAUUUUGAUAAUACAAGUUAAUUUUGUAAUGUUUGUCAAUUUUAAAUUUUAUAAUUGAUUAUUUUUUUAUACCAGACUUUAGAAAGGUUUAUACUAAAUAUGUAUUGGAAGGAAACGUUUGUUCGAACUUUUUUCUCCUUCAGCAAUUUUAUGGUAUGUAUAUUAGAAAGUUUUUUACACCAUAAAUAAAUAAAAAAUUGAGAAAAAGGUAACUUUAAAGUACACAAAAUAUCUGAUAAUGUAUUUUUUAAAUGAUUAAAUUACUCAUAUUUUUUAUAUUACAUAAAUUAAUGAUUCCUUAGAAUUUGAUGAAAUUUUAUUAUGUUAUCCAAAUAAAAAAUGAUAAUAUAAAAAAUCUUAUUGAUAUGACAAUAUUAGUUUAUUUUCGUUAUUAAUAACUUAUUAUGUGUUUGUUUUUUUUAAGAUUUAAAUUUUGAUUUUAAGAUAGUUUUUAAAAUAUUCUUGAACACUCGUAAUUGCGAUAUCAAUAUUAUGUAUAAAAUGACAUUAUACAUGGAAAAAUGAUAUUCAAAUAUGUAUAUGAUAUAUGGUGUAGGAUAUAUGAUUUUGGUUUGUAUUGAAAAAUCUGUAUAUUAUUAAAAUAAUCUAUUUUGAAUAUUGAUACGUAUAUUUAAGAAAAUAAUAUUUUCAUGUUUGUUAAUUUAUUUAUAGUUCAUAAUAUAUUUAUAUUUAUAUUUAUAUUAAAUUUAAAGUUAGUAUAUCUUUUAAAUAUAUAUAUAGGCCCAUUACUUAUAAAUCCAUUUAUGUAGGCCCAAAACAAAAGACUAAAAUAUUAUUAAUGAAUUUUAUUACUCUCUUGUAAAAAUAAGGGUUAUUUUGAAAAAAAAAUGUAAUUUUCAUUAAGGGUAUAAUUUAGGAAUGAUCCUCUUUUAAUGGUAUUGAUACGUAUAGUUUUAGGAACAAAAGUUAUGGCCCUAAAGUAGAUUAAAAUCAAACAAUUACGGGAGGAAAAUCUGUUACAACCAUUUAAAAAAAAACCAAAAAAGCCAUUAAGUGAUAAAAUUGAAUAUAAAAAAAAUUUAGUAAAUGAUAUCCAAAGUUGACAAUUAAUGAUUGGUAUCUAUCUUAUAUACGGAAACGAUGGGAACGGACCUAAGCAAAUAGGAAUUAUCCAUAUAUUUUGAGUAGUUAAAGAAAUAUAAAAAAAAUUCAGAUUACUAAGGCGAAAAGGUUUAUUAGCUCAAGCGAUAGCUAGGGCUCUCUAUAUAAACAUCUUAGGCGUCCUCUCAACUUCUAACCAAACAAACCCAAAACUUCAUCAAAACUUGUGUUUCCUUGCCUGCUUAGCUCUCUCGUUCCUAACAAAAAAAGAAGAACAGAACAUCUAUCAUGUCUUUGAUCAAGACCAACAACUUAUUCGCUUCUUUGAUGAUUCUUGUGGCAGUCUUUGGAGUUGCCGUUGGAGACUCUUUGGUCUCUGAAUACAACAAAGACUAUCACGACGUCAUUGAAGUCACUCACAACAUCUUUGAGCAGUCUGAACCAUCUAACAACCCACCGAGAGUCCAAAACUUUAUAUGCGGUGUUCCUGGUCACUGCGGCAUACAUAAGCUAGUCUUACCGUUGGAUCGCUGUGCAGCUCGCUUUCGUAGACCGGUCGGAUCACCAAACAGUACAAUAGAUAAUUUAAUUUUCAUCAGCA